CCUGGCUCAGAUUGAACGCUGGCGGCAGGCCUAACACAUGCAAGUCGAACGGUAACAGAAAGCAGCUUGCUGCUUUGCUGACGAGUGGCGGACGGGUGAGUAAUGUCUGGGAAACUGCCUGAUGGAGGGGGGAUAACUACUGGAAACGGUAGCUAAUACCGCAUAACGUCGCAAGACCAAAGAGGGGGGACCUUCGGGCCUCUUGCCAUCGGAUGUGCCCAGAUGGGAUUAGCUUGUUGGG
rnacentral:rRNA from 1 species